CCGUACUAGACGGGGAGGUAGCGGUGCUCUGAACCCGCAAUCCGCUAUAGCGGGGUUGAAUUCCUGCCCGAGGGUUUGGCUUGUGGGGUCUGCCCCCUGUAAGGAGUGUUGAAGGCCGGGUCUUGCGCGACGGAGCCUUUUGAACCGUGUCAGAUCCUGACGGAAGCAGCACUAAGNNCUGCAGGGGUAACGCCCGGAAGUUAUUAUUCGACGGCAGGUGUGCGG
rnacentral:SRP_RNA from 1 species